UACGAAGGGGGCUAGCGUUGCUCGGAAUCACUGGGCGUAAAGGGCGCGUAGGCGGCCAUUCAAGUCGGAGGUGAAAGCCCAGGGCUCAACCCUGGAAUUGCCCUCGAUACUGUUUGGCUAGAGACCGGAAGAGGUAGGUGGAACUGCGAGUGUAGAGGUGAAAUUCGUAGAUAUUAGGAAGAACACCAGUGGCGAAGGCGGCUCACUGGCCCGGUACUGACGCUGAGGCGCGAAAGCGUGGGGAGCAAACAGG
rnacentral:rRNA from 1 species